AACGAACGCUGGCGGCAUGCCUAACACAUGCAAGUCGAACGAAGCCUUCGGGCUUAGUGGCGCACGGGUGCGUAACGCGUGGGAAUCUGCCCCUUGCUUCGGAAUAACAGUUAGAAAUGACUGCUAAUACCGGAUGAAGUCUUCGGACCAAAGAUUUAUCGGCAAGGGAUGAGCCCGCGUAGGAUUAGGUAGUUGGUGGGGUAAAGGCCUACCAAGCCGACGAUCCUUAGCUGGUCUGAGAGGAUGAUCAGCCACACUGGGACUGAGACACGGCCCAGACUCCUACGGGAGGCAGCAGUGGGGAAUAUUGGACAAUGGACGCAAGUCUGAUCCAGCAAUGCCGCGUGAGUGAUGAAGGCUUUAGGGUUGUAAAGCUCUUUUACCAGGGAUGAUAAUGACAGUACCUGGAGAAUAAGCUCCGGCUAACUCCGUG
rnacentral:rRNA from 1 species